UGAUUCUCUUGCUCACAUAACUGAGCCAAUACUUGCACAGCUGAGCACUCAGUCAAUUUGGUCUUGAUGUUUGACGCUGAGGGGGACUGGCACAAGGCAUAGAAGAUUCGGAGAAUGUUUUGUUGGACAUCAGGCCCUGUCCAGCUUAUCAAAGAGAAAAGCAUCAAAGCGUCUUCAUCAGAUUCCAACAAUGAAAUUGGUGUUGGGUUGGAUCCUUGGGACACCGUUGAUUCAGCUAAGUGCAUAAUCGUGGCCGCCACAUGUUCACGCAAACCUGAAGAUGAUGAGAUAUGCCGGACAAGAAGAUCAAGUAAUGCGCGCACUGCACCUUCUCUAAUCAUCUGCAGGCCAUUUGCUGGUAA
rnacentral:misc_RNA from 1 species